UACGUAGGGUGCAAGCGUUGUCCGGAAUUAUUGGGCGUAAAGAGCUUGUAGGCGGUUUGUCGCGUCUGCUGUGAAAUUUCGGGGCUCAACCCCGAACUUGCAGUGGGUACGGGCAGACUAGAGUGUGGUAGGGGAGACUGGAAUUCCUGGUGUAGCGGUGAAAUGCGCAGAUAUCAGGAGGAACACCGGUGGCGAAGGCGGGUCUCUGGGCCGAUAUUGACGCUGAGGCACGAAAGCUAGGGGAGCAAACAGG
rnacentral:rRNA from 1 species